GACGAACGCUGGCGGCGUGCCUAAUACAUGCAAGUAGAACGCUGAAGGAGGAGCUUGCUUCUCCGGAUGAGUUGCGAACGGGUGAGUAACGCGUAGGUAACCUGCCUGGUAGCGGGGGAUAACUAUUGGAAACGAUAGCUAAUACCGCAUAACAGUAGAUAUUGCAUGAUAUCUGCUUGAAAGGUGCAAUUGCAUCACUACCAGAUGGACCUGCGUUGUAUUAGCUAGUUGGUGAGGUAACGGCUCACCAAGGCGACGAUACAUAGCCGACCUGAGAGGGUGAUCGGCCACACUGGGACUGAGACACGGCCCAGACUCCUACGGGAGGCAGCAGUAGGGAAGCUUCGGCAAUGGACGGAAGUCUGACCGAGCAACGCCGCGUGAGUGAAGAAGGUUUUCGGAUCGUAAAGCUCUGUUGUAAGAGAAGAACGAGUGUGAGAGUGGAAAGUUCACACUGUGACGGUAUCUUACCAGAAAGGGACGGCUAACUACGUG
rnacentral:rRNA from 1 species